rnacentral:rRNA from 1 species
GACAGAGGUGCCGAGCGUUAGGCGGAAUCACUGGGCUUAAAGCGUGUGUAGGCGGGCGAUCAAGUACCUUGUGAAAUCCCACGGCUCAACCGUGGAACCGCUGGGUAUACUGGUUGUCUUGAGCCGGCUAGGGGCGAGCGGAACAGACGGUGGAGCGGUGAAAUACGUAGAUAUCGUCUGGAACGCCGAAGGUGAAAACAGCUCGCUGGGGCCGCGCUGACGCUGAGACACGAAAGCCAGGGGGAGCGAACGGG